AUUGAACGCUGGCGGCAGGCCUAACACAUGCAAGUCGAACGGUAACAGGAAGAAGCUUGCUUCUUUGCUGACGAGUGGCGGACGUGUGAGUAAUGUCUGGGAAACUGCCUGAUGGAGGGGGAUACCUACUGGAAACGGUAGCUAAUACCGCAUAACGUCGCAAGCCCAAAGAGGGGGACCUUCGGGCCUCUUGCCAUCGGAUGUGCCCAGAUGGGAUUAGCUAGUAGGUGGGGUAACGGCUCACCUAGGCGACGAUCCCUAGCUGGUCUGAGAGGAUGACCAGCCACACUGGAACUGAGACACGGUCCAGACUCCUACGGGAGGCAGCAGUGGGGAAUAUUGCACAAUGGGCGCAAGCCUGAUGCAGACAUGCCGCGUGUAUGAAGAAGGCCUUCGGGUUGUAAAGUACUUUCAGCGGGGAGGAAGGGAGUAAAGUUAAUACCUUUGCUCAUUGACGUUACCCGCAGAAGAAGCACCGGCUAACUCCGUG
rnacentral:rRNA from 1 species